rnacentral:lncRNA from 10 species
AAGCGGCAGAGCUAUGGAGAAAGUGAACGAAGGGCCAUGCCUUCCACUGAAGCCCAGGCAGCUGGUGUUUGAGCUUCAUUAACUUGGAGAUCCAUAAAUCUCUCCCCCUGGUUUCCAGGUCAAAGGGAUUGCUGGGUGGAAGAGCUCCAAACCCUCUCAGUUGUGGGAAACAUCCCUGUGACUUUGCGGGAAGGACCACAGAAAUGGGAGCAAUUUCAAGAGGACAGACAGACUCUGCCCCCUGCCCUGCCAACACCCGCAGCCACGAUUGCCUUUCCUCCUCCUCCCCAUUCUCCUUUUCCGUCUCGCCGCAAGCCCAGAUUUCGUGCUGAGCCCUGCACAUGAAGUGUCUCCCUUAAAUGUCAUAAAGACCCCAUUCUACAGAUGAAGACACCAACGCAUUGAGGGCAUGAACAACAAGCCCAGAGGUACCCUGUCCCUCCACAGAGCUGGAUCCAGACCCAGUCUAGACCUAUUCCAGAGCCCAGCCUCACUGUGUCUGGGGCACGAUGGUCCCUGGCCUGGAGUGAAGAACACGAGAUCCGAACCUUCAGAGUACGCCUCUCUGCCUCAGCCAAGCUCUCUGUUCUGGAACCUCUGCAGGUUAUUUCUAAUUGAGAAGGUGCAGCAAAGCAGUUAGGGACCUGGACUCUCAAAUCCAGUACAGUCACAUGUUCUCAGCCACACGACCUGGGGAAGGCACCCAGCCACUCGCAGGCUGGAAGGAGGUUACAGAGGUCACCGAGGCACAGCCCUCACAGGAGAUGUGGGUGGCAUGGGCACUCAGGAAGUUAGCUGUUAUCAGUCAUUAUUCCUUGACACCCACUCUGCCUGUUUGUUCCCUCAAACUUCUUGCAAGAGAACUAUGAAGAGGUUGGGAUUCUUGCUGAUUUAUGGUCAUUACUGAUGAUGUCACGACUGUCCACUCAGGGCCCAAGGACACCAGGACAAGUUAGCAGCCUGCACAGGAAUCCAGGAAGUUGUUAUUUUAAUCUUUAAUGCUAGUUUUUUUUGCCAAGCUAAACAACCCCUAUCGGCCCCGUAGUAUGUUAACAUUUUGGGAAAAAUUUAUGAACUGCUCCAAUCCAUUUUUGGUAAAGCCCAUUACCUCUGAAUAUAGAAUCAAGGUUCCAAUUAAAGCUCUCCAUUAGAGAAUUAAAGUUAUUUGCCAAACCAGAAGAGAAAAAAGAUCAUUCUUCAUAAUUUUCAAGUUCAUCUGCCUGAAACCAGCAGUCUCCUUCCAGUCCUCAGGCAAGUGAUCAACUCAUUCAAUGUUUCAGAGCAUGGACCACAAAACAGAGAAACUUCUGGGAAUCUGGACAAAACAGUGCCUCCCCCCAAGGGAUCUCAGACAGUCGCUAGGGCUUGCACACACACAUAUGCGCACAUACACACACUCACAUGGUUGCUCUAGGAUCCUAACAUCUGUAGUCAAGGAGGUCCAAUGUUUUUAGGAGUAAAAAUAAAUCCCAAUUUCUUCCACUUUGGAAGCUCGUAGACGGCAGGCUUUGUAGGAGAAGUUAUUUCAACUGGGUUUAAAAGUUUUGGUACGGUUUUGCCGGAUAGAAAUAGAUGGGCAAAUACACAGAGGUUGAGAAGUC